rnacentral:rRNA from 1 species
AUGGCCGAAUGCUUCAAUAGGGUGCUCAAAGGUGCACGUGGAUUACCCGUGACGGCAAUAGUUCAAUACACAUUUGACAAGAUGAAUGCGUACUUUGUAAAGUACUCGAUGGAAACCGAUGCACAGAUAGCGGGUGAGAACCCACGGAAGUACAAGUACAAGUUCCCACCCAAAGUUGAUGAAUGGUUGCUAUUUCAAUCACGGAAGGCGGACUCAGAAGAAGCUAUAUUAUAUGACAAUGAAGAGUGGAAGUACGAAGUGAAAGAGCCAGGAGGAACCACAAAUGAUGGCCGGCAACAUGGAGGUCGGGCUUUCAAGGUGUCGUUAACACAAUGUGAUUGCACUUGCGGGAGGCCAUUGUUGCUUCAUCUCCCAUGCUCACAUUUGUAUGCCGCCGGCCGCGUUAGGAAUGUGGACAUCAAUCACCCACGCACCGUGAGGGAGUCGGAGUUCUCAAUCAUGACGGUCAAGAAAACAUGGGCUCCCUGCUUUCACCCAUACUUUGACCAAUCACAAUGGCCGGAGUAUCAUGGAGUUCAACUAUGGUCGGAUCCG